rnacentral:rRNA from 1 species
CCGAGUUGUAGUCUAGAGAAGCAUCAUCCGUGCUGGACCAUGUACAAGUCUCUUGGAACAGAGCGUCAUAGAGGGUGAGAAUCCCGUCCUUGACAUGGACUCCCAGUACUUUGUGUUGUGCUCUCAAC